AUAUUGGCCAAUGGGCGGAAGCCUGAACCAGCCAUGCCGCGUGCAGGAUGACUGCCCUAUGGGUUGUAAACUGCUUUUGUCCGGGAAUAAACCUCCUUACGAGUAGGGAGCUGAAUGUACCGGAGGAAUAAGGAACGGCUAACUCCGUGCCAGCAGCGGCGGUAAUACGGAGGAUCCGAGCGUUACCCGGAUUUAUUGGGUUUAAAGGGUGCGUAGGCGGCCUGUUAAGUCAGGGGUGAAAUACGGUGGCUCAACCAUCGCAGUGCCUUUGAUACUGACGUGCUUGAAUCCAUAUGAAGUAGGCGGAAUAAGACAAGUAGCGGUGAAAUGCAUAGAUAUGUCUUAGAACUCCGAUUGCGAAGGCAGCUCACUAAGCUGGUAUUGACGCUGAUGCACGAAAGCGUGGGGAUCGAACAGG
rnacentral:rRNA from 1 species